rnacentral:ncRNA from 1 species
CAAAGAUUUGGUCCUAGUCUUACUAUCAUUUUUCAACUAAACUUACACAUGCAAGUAUCCGCUCCCCGGUGAAAAUGCCCUCAAUCUUCCUAGUAGAAGAUAAGGAGCCGGCAUCAGGUUCGUGUUCACGGCCCAAAACGCCUUGCUUUGCCACACCCCCACGGGAUUUCAGCAGUGAUAAACAUUAGGCAAUCAGCGAAAGCUAGACCUAGUUACAGUUAAUUAGAGCCGGUAAAACUCGUGCCAGCCACCGCGGUUAUACGAGAGACUCAAAAUGAUAGUCAUUCGGCGUAUAGUGUGGUUAACAAUUAAAUCAUUAAACUGAGAACAAAAUACCUUUUAGCUGUCAUACGCUAACAAGUCUAUGAAGACCAUCAACGAAAGUUAUCUCAUUAUAUGUGAACCCACGAAAACCAAGACACAAACUGGGAUUAGAUACCCCACUAUGCUUGGUACUAAACUAAGGCGGCACUUAUACUAAGCCGCUCGCCAGGUUACUACGAGCGCAAGCUUAAAACCCAAAGGACUUGGCGGUGCUUCAGAACCACCUAGAGGAGCCUGUUCUAUAAUCGAUAAUCCUCGUUCAACCUCACCACAUCUUGCAUUCAGCCUAUAUACCGCCGUCGCCAGCCUACCUUUUGAAAGACCAUAAGUAGGCCCAAUAAGUAAGACUUAAUACGUCAGGUCAAGGUGUAGCUUAUGAUAUGGGAAGAAAUGGGCUACAUUUUCUAAAUUAGAACACACGAACGACACUAUGAAACCUGUGUCCGAAGGAGGAUUUAGCAGUAAGCGGGGAGUAGAGUGCCCCACUGAAGCCUGGCGCUGAAGCGCGCACACACCGCCCGUCACUCUCCUCGAAACAUCCUAAAAAACCUUUAAUAAAAUACUAUCAACAAGAAGAGGAGGCAAGUCGUAACAUGGUAAGCGUACUGGAAAGCUAGCUUGGAAUAAC